GAUGAUUUUUGUCAAACUGGCUAUGAAGAGAAAGAAGGUAGAGAUGACGAGAAGAAGGAUCCAUCGCGGCCGUUCGCUUCUGUUGGUCGAAAGGUAAAACCCUUCCUUGUUUGGGUGGAGGCAUUUUGAGUCAUAAAUCAAUGAAUAUAUCAUAAGUUUUAAUCUGCAAUUUUUGGCUAUUGGCGUCGUUCCGGUGUUGAGGUCCCAUUUAUUGCUUCGUUUGGGAAAGAAGUUGUAGCACAACCAUCUCUUUUGGCACCCAUCCUCGUAUGCACCAACAUAUCUAUUACACCCCUGCUUAUCUUUUUCUUGUUAUUUUCUCCUUUUUUUUUUUUUUUUUUUUUCCUUUUUUUUUCUUUUUUUGGUUUCAUCUACACACGACCAUAGUUUCCUGUAUAAGGAUUAUUUUAGCAGCAUAGUCAAGUCAUAUCAAUAGCCCUCAUUUUUUUUUCCCUCAUUUGGGGAUUGAUAUAUAGGUAAGUGGGUUUUUAGUUUGGGAUUUCCAUGUGAUGAUUUUCAUUAUUUUCUUGUUCCUUAAGAAAAAUUUAAUCUUGAAUAUGGUUCUUAUUUGGUGUUUUUUUAUGGUCAAGAUUCCCUUUUUUCCCCCCAUGUUACACUUCAUAGAUUUUGAAUUUUUAAGAAGAGGUAGACGUUGAUUUCGAGAAGACAGUGACGUUGGGCUUCCAAACUAUAUAGAUUAAUUAUGUUGUUUUCCUUAGGUGAGAUUAUUGCUAACCCCUCUAUUAUUGAGAGAUUUUGCCACUUCAGCUUAAAUAUCUUUGUUCGAUAGGUGUUGGCAAGAAUUUCUGGUUAUAAAUAUGUUGUUGGUGUAUUCUUUUUUCAAGUUUCCUCAAGGUUUUUGUUGAAUUAUGAGGUAAGGCUGAAUUUUGGUUGUGGUAUAAAUUCCUUGCCACGUUCAUGGGAUCCUUGAAGUAUGCUACAUGGGUUAUGUCAAUAUAGAUGACUAAUAUGAUUUAUGAGUUCAGAUAUAUGCCCUUUUGAAGUAAUGACUUGUUAUAACAUGGAAUAUAAGUGGACGGACUAGCAAAAAGAAAAUGACAAGGGAAGAAUAGUUUGUUUUCAUAUAAGAGAUUUGAUGCACAAUUUGAGAAUAAAAUAAUUGUCAAUACUUAUUUGGAAUGGUUUAAAAAUCAAAUAAGAUACUCCACCUGUAUGAAUACUGUUUUGGAUAGAAGCCUGUAGAGUUUGACAUUGCGGUUAGAGGUAAUGUUAUUUUUAUCUUUUGUUAGAAUUUCCCGAUUACCACUUUAUGGGUUCAAAAUUAGAAGGCUUUCCUUGAGUAAAAAUGAAGGUGUUUCAGUUGAUGGCAAUUCUGGAAGGAAUAAGGAGAAAUCAUUGUUGGACCUGCUUUGGUUAUUGAAGCUUGGCUUUUGGUUGCCAUUUUUGUAUGUGUAUUUAUUAUUUAUCACCUUCUCCAACAAAGCCAUAAUUCUUACUAUCAGUGCUUGAUUUUAUAUUGAUCUUUAUAUACAUAGAUUUUUUUAUUUUUGUUUGUGUAGAAAUUCAUUCGCCAAGAUAGUCAAUUCUUGAACUGGAAUGGUAGAUCGAUAAGUAGAAAUUCUGGGUAUCCAAAUUGAGAUUUUUGGUGAAAAUCUUGGUUCUUAUAGGAAUCAAAUUUUGAUUAUGUUUUUCUUGGUGGGUUUGUGGUUUAUGAUGAUCAAGAUUAUUGAGAUUUUUAUUGUAUUUUAUUUUAUUUUAUUUUAUUUUACAGGUUUUGGAUUUUCAAUUUUGGGAAGUUGAUAGUAGAUGUUGAAUUGGAUAGGUGGAACAUCUAAAUUAUAUGGAUAAUUUAUGAUGUUAUCAGGUUAGGAUUUGCUUUCUGUUAUUUUAACAUAAUUAAUGUAUAGAUUGUAUUAUUUCUGGAAUUUGACUAUUGAGACAUUUUUCAUAGUUUCUCAUCAAUUCUUUCAGGCUAAAAUUGUUGUUUAAAUGAUUAUUUAUGAUAUUAAAUAGUAAAACCCAUUAUUAAUUUAUGGUCUCUCAUUUGGUUCCUUCUGGUUUUCUGUUAUUUUACAUUAGUUGAUCUAAACUUAUGUCCAUAAAAUAAAUUAGCAACGUGGUGAUGAGAUACAUCUAACCACAUUUAGGGAAAGAAGGCUACCAUGCUUGAGAUAAUCUUUAAUAAAAAAGAUUUGAUAAGAAAUGGAACAUUUAAAGCUUUUGAAAUCCAUAAAUGAAGCAUAUGAAAGCAAUGGAAUUGCAGUGGGAGUUGAAGAAAGAAAAUUUAUAAUUGAAUCAUCAUAGGCAAAUAAAAAAUAAGAUUUUGAGCAUUCUUACUAUACUAACAAAUCCCAUGCACAAGAAAUAGAUUUAACACUAUGGUCAAGUAAUUAAGUAUGCACUAAGUUUAGAUUAAAAUAUUAGAAGUGUUCUGUUAGAAGAUGACUUUUGAAAUAAUUGUAAAUAUGAACAAAAAUUCAGUUGAAUAAAUGAGUCAUGAGAAAUAGUUUGAAGAUCAAUUUCAUUCUCGUGACAAGCAUAUGAUGCAUCAUAAGAAAUUUUUGAAAGGUAUGUUGACAACUGUAAAAUCAAGUUAUGAAAAUGUCCACCAUCUUCUAUAUAUCGAUCUGAUUGUCAAUUUAUCAAAAAAAUAUCAAAGAUCUAGAUAUGGCUUGUUUAUAUAGGGCCUCGAAAGGCGAAUUAUGAAACAACCUAAUUGACUAGGAGUACCUAAUUAGGAACUAACUUUACCAGUUUAUAUAAUCCGUCCCUUAUGUGAUUGCUUCUCAUUCCCUGUCAAGUUAUUUGAUAAAUAAGGACAUUUAAAUUAAGAUUGUUUAGAUAUCAUAUUACAAAAUAUUUUAGGGGGUUUAAUUGAAAUUUUUUAACAAAGACAUUUAUGGAAGUUCAAUUGAGAAACUAACUUUCUGGUCUUUGUAUGUCUAUAUAUCAUUCAGGGGAUUUAAUUAACAUACCAACUUUCUCACCCUUGUUAUUUAGUUUUUAUAAACUUCUUCAAUAAUAUCUUAAAUCCGUAAUGUUAUUUUUUUUCUUCUUUUUUAUGUUUUUAUUUUGAUUCUUUUUUUAUUCAACAUUAUAGAUUUCCAUCAGCUCCUGUAUUUCGGAUUCAGCAAUACUUCUUCAUCACUUUCCUAUUUUAGGUGGUCUGGAUUUUGUAAGUAUAUAUUAAAACAUAAAAUUUACUCGCCAAAUUGUUGUUGAACUAGGAAGCACUUAGAUUUAUGUGAUCCCUGGUAAUGAAUUUUAGUUAUGCGGUCUUACAAUUUCCUAUCUAUUUUUGGGAAAGCAAGUUUUCAGUAAGAUCAAGUUGGAAUAUCAUUCUUUUGCAAGUUUUGGUGUUAGAUUGUGAAUUUAGCUUGAAUUGUUUAAGUUAUUAUCAUUUGCAUUGAAAUGUUGUUUAUCUCUUUAAUUCUUGAGAAUUUCUAUUCGAAUUAUUUCGUUUCAUUUGCUGGGUCUUAUACUGUGGACUCUCUAUGUAUUCAAUCAUUCUAGCACUUUUGAGCGGUCAAGCAUAAAUCUAUAUACUGAGGAUUCUCUUUCUGAAUGCACAACUCCUUUUGUUAACCUAAGAUGGUGAAGUAAUUUUGAUAUAUUCCUCCACAUUCCAUUUUUGGGUGUUAAACGAGUACUCAUCUCUGUUACAAUAAAUUCAAGUAUCUUGAUGUUGCUGGCCAGAAGAAUUCCUAACUUUACAUCUUCAAUGGUGUGGCUUAGUUCUUUGGGUUGUUGGUAUGGUCUAUAUAUUUCAUUCAACUUCAAAACUUUGCAUUUUACUCUAAAAUGUUUAGUAUUCUGCUCGUUCAUAUACUCAACAUAUAUUGCAGGGAAAUGGAAACUCAAUUUAUUGAUCAGUUGACCAUGUGUGGAUGAGUUUCUAAAAUCUGAGAUUGUUAUACACCGCCACAAAAUCUGUCUAUUGUUAUUUUUUAGCAUCUCUAUGAUUAUUUGAAAUAUUAGAGUUUUAUAAAUGAAAGACAUUUGCCUCUUUAGUUCCUUGAGAAUAAAGGGCGUUGGGAGUAGCCAUGGAAUUUAAGGAUUUCACUAGGGAAAUAGUUUGUGUAUAUAACGUUUUCAUCAGUAUAAAGUUUUUGAUGGGCCAACCAGUGCGUCAGAUUAAGAUAUUGCAAUGAAUGAUGUCAGCAGAAGUCCAGCAAAGACCUUAACCAGUGCUAAAGGUCCAAGCUUCACUGAGGGGAUUUCUAAGUCAUCAUAUGCCAAGUAAGCAUCAGAUUUGAAAAGCUCUUCUGUAAAGGUGAAUUUUUUUUUUGCUCAUUGAUAGGGGGUCCAAAUAUGAAAAGAUUUGUAUUCUAUUUAGAUUUUUUCUUUGUUAUCCCCAUCUCUCUACGUGUUCCAUUUGGAUAGUUUCUGCCUAUAAAUUUAUUUAACUUGUCUUUUCGUUUGCAGCUAAACCUCUUUCAACAUAGGAAAUCGUUGUCUUACAUUGUAAUUUGGCAUGUGUUUUCAUCUAUAAGGUAGAGAUUGGCCAUUGACUAUUUUUACAAUUGUCUUUGGCUUUCAUGAAUUUUGUGGACAUUUGUAACGAAUUAUGUAACUAUCACGACAAACAAUUCAUUGUUGUAUGAAUUUUAUAUUCUCCUUAGUUCACAUGUAAAAGAUAUAUAUAGCAAACAUUGAGUUGAGA
rnacentral:lncRNA from 1 species